UACGGAGGGGGCUAGCGUUGUUCGGAAUUACUGGGCGUAAAGCGCGCGUAGGCGGCUUUGUAAGUUAGAGGUGAAAGCCCGGAGCUCAACUCCGGAAUUGCCUUUAAGACUGCAUCGCUAGAAUCAUGGAGAGGUGAGUGGAAUUCCGAGUGUAGAGGUGAAAUUCGUAGAUAUUCGGAAGAACACCAGUGGCGAAGGCGACUCACUGGACACAUAUUGACGCUGAGGUGCGAAAGCGUGGGGAGCAAACAGG
rnacentral:rRNA from 1 species